CACUGAGCAACAGACACCAGGUGCCUUUGUCUUCAGGGACUGCCAGUCGUCUUGGGGGAUGACCCUUCUGCAUUCUUCCAAAGCUGCUCGGAUGCAACUGCCAAGGACUUGUACAGUGAAACUCCAGUGGGAAUCCUCUGCAUUGACAAACAUCCUCAACUCAACCCAUCAGAGUGAGCAUCAUCCUGGAAGGGAGUGUAGUAAUGGAGGAGCUGGCCAACCUACCGCUGGCUUUCUGUGUCCUUUUUGGACUGAUCUAUGCUUUGCACUUGGAUUACCCCAAGUGCAUGAAAAGCACCUUCCACUUUAUUCACCAAGUCAUCCUAAACCUUGGCAGAGUUGAGCCGAAACCCAAAUUCAAUCUUUGAAGAUGUGUGUGUUUAAAACAGGCGUCUUAACCCAUUGCUCUGGAUGUGAGUGCUUGGUUAUUUGUAAUGUUGCACUUUAAAAAUACCAUUACUGUUGACACUGUUCGAUAUGCAAGUUUUAUUUAUGCAUUGCCACUGAUUUUGCAAUUUGAUUCCAUACUGAUUGUGUAUGAUUAAUGUUUUUAGCAUUGCUACCUAUGUUGUAUAGCAUUCUUGAUGUUGUAGUUUAAUGCCAUACUGAUUCAGAACAGUAUUAUUAGAUUUUUUUUUUUUUAAUUGCAAACAUUUUUUAUUGACCAGAUAAAGAUAAGUUUAAAAAACAUGUUAACAAGAAAAAUUUCUGUGUAUGGAGACAAAUAAAUAAUCAAGAAUGUA